UACGGAGGGGGCUAGCGUUGUUCGGAAUUACUGGGCGUAAAGCGCACGUAGGCGGUUUCUCAAGUCAGAGGUGAAAGCCCGGAGCUCAACUCCGGAAUUGCCUUUGAAACUAGGUGACUUGAAUCAUGGAGAGGUCAGUGGAAUUCCGAGUGUAGAGGUGAAAUUCGUAGAUAUUCGGAAGAACACCAGUGGCGAAGGCGGCUGACUGGACAUGUAUUGACGCUGAGGUGCGAAAGCGUGGGGAGCAAACAGG
rnacentral:rRNA from 1 species